rnacentral:snRNA from 1 species
ACUGCUUUUCAGCCUUUUGGCUAAGAUCAAGUAUAGUAUCUGUUCUUAUCAGUUUAAUACCUGAUACACUCUCUAUUCAAGGACAAUAUAUCAAAUGGAUUUCUGGAGCAGGGAGAUGUAAUAGGAGCUUGUUCCAGCCACUCCACACAUCAACCUAGCAUUGCAGUACCUCCAGGACUGCUAUACCCAUC